rnacentral:rRNA from 1 species
UACGAAGGGGGCUAGCGUUGUUCGGAAUUACUGGGCGUAAAGCGCACGUAGGCGGCUUUUUAAGUCAGGGGUGAAAUCCUGGAGCUCAACUCCAGAACUGCCUUUGAUACUGAGAAGCUUGAGUCCGGGAGAGGUGAGUGGAACUGCGAGUGUAGAGGUGAAAUUCGUAGAUAUUCGCAAGAACACCAGUGGCGAAGGCGGCUCACUGGCCCGGUACUGACGCUGAGAUGCGAAAGCGUGGGGAGCAAACAGG